rnacentral:rRNA from 1 species
AUUGAACGCUGGCGGCAGGCCUAACACAUGCAAGUCGAGCGGAGCGGCGGACGGGUGAGUAAUGCCUAGGAAUCUGCCUGGUAGUGGUGGAUAACGUCCGGAAACGGGCGCUAAUACCGCAUACUAUCAGAUGAGCCUAGGUGGGAUUAGCUAGUGGGUGGGGUAAAGGCCUACCAUGGCGACGAUCGGUAACUGGUCUGAGAGGAUGAUCAGUCACACUGGAACUGAGAAACGGCCCAGACUCCUACGGGAGGAAGCAGUGGGGAAUAUGUGACAAUGGGCGAAAGCCUGAUGCAGCCAUGCCGCGUGUGUGAAGAAGGUCUUCGGAUUGUAAAGCACUUUAAGUUGGGAGGCGUUACCAACAGAAUAAGCACCGGCUAACUUCGUGCCAGCAGCCGCGGUAAUAC